rnacentral:rRNA from 3 species
GGACAACCUACCCUUGGGUCCGGCAUAAUCCUGGGAAACUGGGAAUAAUUCCGGAUAGGUCACCGAUGCUGGAAUGCGCGGUGGCCGAAAGCUCCGGCGCCCGAGGAUGGGUCUGCGGCCUAUCAGGGUUGUAGUGGGUGUAACGUACCUACUAGCCUACGACGGGUACGGGUUGUGAGAGCAAGAGCCCGGAGAUGGAUUCUGAGACACGAAUCCAGGCCCUACGGGGUGCAGCAGGCGCGAAAACUUUACAAUGCGGGAAACCGUGAUAAGGGGAUCUCGAGUGCCAGCAUAUAAUGUUGGCUGUCCAGAUGCCUAAAAAGCAUCUGUUAGCAAGGGCCGGGCAAGACCGGUGCCAGCCGCCGCGGUAACACCGGCGGCCCGAGUGGUAACCGCUAUUAUUGGGUCUAAAGGGUCUGUAGCCGGCCAGGUAAGUCCCUUGGGAAAUCUGGCAGCUCAACUGUCAGGCUGCUAGGGGAUACUGUUUGGCUUGGGACCGGGAGAGGUGAGAGGUACCUUGGGGGUAGGGGUGAAAUCUUGUGAUCCUCGAGGGACCACCAGUGGCGAAGGCGUCUCACCAGAACGGGUCCGACGGUAAGGGACGAAAGCUAGGGGCACGAACCGGAUUAGAUACCCGGGUAGUCCUAGCCGUAAACGAUGCUCGCUAGGUGUCAGUCACGGUGCGACCGUGAUUGGUGCCGUAGGGAAGCCGUGAAGCGAGCCACCUGGGAAGUAUGGCCGCAAGGCUGAAACUUAA